AUAUCCGUUUCCUUUGUUUCAUGUUAAAAGAUUGGAAAACAUCUUCUAUCUAAUUUGCAUGUUGCAUAUAUAUGAGAAAUUAAGAAUGGAUAUUCUUUCUGUUUUAUGUAUUUACUGGUUUUUAUUCUUAACAACUGUUGUUGGAGUUCAAAGUAUCAGAUGCUACGAAUGCAACUCUCAAUUCACAUCUUCCUGUGGAAGGGACUUCAAACUUACAUCGUCGGACACAAAUUAUAUCACGGACCAGUGUAACAGAUGCCUCAAGAAGAUAACACGAACUCAAACUAAUAUAACAGUGUAUUCAAGAGAAUGUUCUGGAGCUACUGUCGAUAAUUGUAAUACAAUAUCAACACAAGAGGAACAAUGCUUCUGUGAUACAGAUCUUUGUAACAAAUCGUCUUCCAUGACUGUUACUUUAGCAACAGUUAUUAUUAAAACCAUGUUAUUUUUUAUUUUAAAAUAAAAUAAAACUUUAGAUCAGAGACAUAUAUCUUUGAUAACUAUAUAUAUUAUAUGAUUGUAUAUGUAUCAUUCUAUCAUGUUUAAACAGCUUUGGUAUUGAAAUAUUAUAAUGUCAUUUUGUGAUGUUAUAAUUUCAUUAUUUUUAUUAGUAAACAACGACAUGGUACUUUAUAGUGAUGUUUCAUGUCCCAAUGCAACACAGUAUCCAAGACUACACAUGCUCUCCAUGACAAUUUAACAAUGGGAAGGAAUUAUAAGAUAAAGCACACGAAAAUUUCCAUUUACCUCGUCAUUUCCUGGUUUUAGUACCAAAAUGUAAUUAUAAGGAUUGCAUGGUUCUUUUUUUUUUGUAUGAUAAUUUAUCAUACACACAUUUUAAGUGAAUAGUGUGGAAGCUUUGUUCAAUAGUGCUGUUGUGGUGGACCAUGUCCAGUUAUUGCAAGUCACUUUUAUUUUUAUGCUCAUUAAUGUUAUAUAAAUAUGGCUUUCCUAACUUUUUGUCACAAGCAUACCCACUGACAGUUAUUCAGCUAAAUGUGAUUUGUACAGAUAAUCUUAUUAUUUUUGUUUUUUCUUUUACAUAUUAUAGGAAGAACAGGGUAUAAUGACUAUACUAAGGAGGUAGACAGCUAGAUUUCCUUGAAUCCAUUUCACUCACUGGGUCAAAAUCCAAAAGUUUUUAAAACCUAAUUGAAUUUGACUAUUAAAAUAAAAAUUAUUAAACGCUUUUAAAAUUUUACAACAAUUGUAUAACGCAUAUCCACAAAAUCAAAAUAUUAUUUAGUACUUUACAUUCUUAUUGAAGAAUUCAGAUACAAUGUUGUAAAUUCCAACGACUUUUGUAAAAUUUUGCACUUUUAACUGACAUGAAUACUUUGUACCUGAAAAACAAAACACAGCUUCACUCCCUAUAGAAUUUCAUUAUUUGUCAAAAUUGCAUUUUUUUAGGCAUUUAAAAUUGGAUACAGAACCACCAAAACACCACAAUGUUGUUAGAACAUCACAGUGCAAACAUGAAGCUAUCACGAUGCACAUUUUAGUAAAGACUUUUUGAAAAUGGUUUUUGCAUGAAAUAAAUGAAGGGAAAGUUGA